UCCAACAAGCAGGCAGAGAGAGUCAGGGGUGCACAGCGGGCUCACCACAGUCUCAGAUUGCAUGCCAGGAGGAUCUAGUCACAGCGUGUUGGG